GACGAACGCUGGCGGCGUGCUUAACACAUGCAAGUCGAACGGUGAAGGGACCAGCUUGCUGGUUCUGGAUGAGUGGCGAACGGGUGAGUAACACGUGAGUAACCUGCCCCCUUCUUCUGGAUAACCGCAUGAAAGUGCGGCUAAUACGGGAUAUUCUGGGUCUGUCGCAUGGCGGGCCCGGGAAAGAUAUUGCUUCGGUGGGGGAUGGGCUCGCGGCCUAUCAGCUUGUUGGUGGGGUGAUGGCCUACCAAGGCGGUGACGGGUAGCCGGCCUGAGGUGGUGGACGGUCGCACUGGGACUGCGACACUGCCCAGACUCCUACGGGAGGCAGCAGUGGGGAGUAAUGCACAAUGGGCGCAAGCCUGAUGCAGCGACGCCGCGUGAGGGAUGGAGGCCUUCGGGUUGUAAACCUCUUUCGCCAGUGAAGCAGGCCUGCUCCUUGUGGGUGGGUUGACGGUAGCUGGAUAAGAAGCGCCGGCUAACUACGUG
rnacentral:rRNA from 1 species